CCUUGGCCGUCAGGAGCCUCGCCUGGAACGGGGCCCCCAUAAAGCUCCUGAGCCUGGGCCACUUCACUCAGGCUCCUGUUCCCCAUCUCCAGACUUGCAGCGGACAGAACUCCACUUUCUGAAGAAAGAAGAAGCUCGUGCUCACCUUUGGACACCAGGUAUGGUGGGUGUAUGGCGGCCUCCACGGUCUCCUCCAGCUCACAGAAGGGGUUCUCCUCAAAGACCAGCGUGUACAGAGUGACUCCCAGUGACCACAUCUCCAGCUCCGGCCCUCUGUAGCUGUGAGGAGGAGGAGGCAUCAGGACGCCACAGCGCUCAGCACGGGCUUGCCAAGCCCGCCCAUGGGAAGCACCACGGCUCUUCCCGACUGGCACACAGGCCAGGCAGCGGUUUCCCAGGAGGGUCACUCCACCCCUCCAACAUGCCCUCCAUUUCCAUGCACUUCUGCCCCAGGCCAGCCACCAGGCCAUGUGCCAGGAGUGGAGAGGCCCUUGGGCAGCUCCGAGGCUAAUCAGGAACUUCCUUGUGGACACCAACCACAAGACGUGUCCACCAGAGGUGGGGGAGGGCUUCCUGGAGGAAGCAGAGUACACAUCCAUUGGCUUUGCUGAAGGCCACAGCAGCCGCAGGCCACUUCAGAACAGGGUCACGUGCCCUUCAGACGUGAUCGGGCAUGUUCAGCUUGGUGUGACCACUGACACACAUGCCCUUUAGGAAGAUCACGGUGGCGACGACGUGAAGGUGCUGCAGGACGAGACUGAACAGGCAGAAAUACCGAAGGAUGAAAGCAAACAAGAAGGACGUGGUGAAGGCGGGUGUUCACACAAUGGGCCAACUGGAGGAGCAAGCUUCAGGGAGAAGACACCCAAAGGACUAUUGUUAUUUCCUAUCGCCGUAAACAUCCUCAUCCACGCCACCAUUUAUUGGGUACCUAGAGAUGCCAACGCUGUACCAGCAUUUUACAUGGCUUAACCCAAAUCCUCACAACAACCUAGCAAGAUAAAUAUUACCUUCAUUUUACACAGAAGAAGAGCAAGGCUUGGUGAGGUGAAGGUACUGCCAAGCACACACCGGAGCCAGGUCACCUGCACCCACGGCCCUGCCCCUGCACUGGCCAAGGCCAUGCACCUCCAGGUCUGCAGCUGGGGGUCUGUCCCCAGAAGAGGUCUGGGAAGCAGCAGCCUCUUCCCAGAACUGGAAUUAGACAAGGGAGCCAAGAGAAACCACAGCAGUGAGAAGAGUGGCACGGACAGAGCCCUGGGCUGGACUCAGAGAAGAGGGGCUGGGCGGGGAGGGGAGGGCUCAAGAUGGCAGAUCACAGAGGCCAGAGCAGCAGCGUGGGUAAGAGUCAGGCCACCAGGUUGAGUCAGGGGGGUGGUGGGGUCGCUAGCACAGACCACAGGGAAACUGAGGGGAUGGAUGAGAGCUGUAGGGGCUAGAGCAAGAAAAUCAGAUUCGGCAGUUUUUGUUUUUGCGUUGUUUCUGUGUUUUAGAUGUCAAGACUUUUAGAAGAUGAAGAGAAAUAUCCAAUAGACUAGAACAGAGGUUGGCAAACUUUUCCUGUAAAGGGUCAAAUAGUAAAUAUUUCAGGUUUUGGGCCACAUGGUCCCCGCUGCAACUCAACUCUGUCACGUAGGACAAAGGCAGCUACAGACAACACAUAAGCAAAUGAACACAGCUCCAUCCCAAUACAACUGUAUUUAUAGAAACAAGAGGCAGGGGAUGUUUGCAAACACGUUUGUAGCAGCAUCACAAACAACAUAAAGAUAGAAGCAAAGGUAGAAGCAACCCAAAUGUCCACUGACAGAUGAAUGAGUAAGUACAGCACAUCCAGAAAACGCAAUCAAAUUCAGCCUCGAAAAGGAAGAUGCUGGCACAGGCCACAACAUGGAUCAACCUUGAGGACUUUAUGCUAAGUGAAAUAAGCCAGUCGCCAAAAGGCAGAUGCUGUAUGAUUCCACAUAUAGGCGGUCCCUAGAGUAGUCAGAUUCAUAGAGAAGAAAGCAGAAUAGCGGCUGCCAGGGCCUGAGGAAGGGGGAUGGGGACCUAAGGCCACAGUCUGCUGACCGUGGAGUAGACGGAGAUGAAGAUGACAAGACAGAAGCCAGGUCCCUGAGGAUGGGAUUGAGAAUCAGAACUCAGAAACCCUUUCACCCAGGGAGAUGGGGAGAGGAUGCAGGAGGGAGGAAGGAGCUCCCGAGAAGAGGCCUGCAGCCCAGCAGGCCUAGGAGCAGCACACCGCUCACAGCCAGAAAGGAGGGGCCAGGAAGCAGGGCAGAGCCCUGGCAGGGCAGGUGCUCAGGAAGAGGGUGGGAGCCACAGCUCUGGGAGGCAAGGGCAAGGUGGCCAAGCAGCACUGAGCUCUCACCUAGGUUGGAUCCCCCCCACACCUUCCCCAAGCUUCGUGGCCUGGGUGCAGGAAGGGGUGACAAGCCAUGCAGCAGGCAUCAUGGGUCAGUGGACAGGGGACAGGCAGUUCCCUCCCGCAGAGAGGACACGACAGCCACUGCAAGGGAGGCAGAGCCCACCAGCGUCCACCAGGCUCCAGGGCAACCAAACUAGAUCUGAAGGGAAACUCCAAGUCCCUUCAUAGACCAACUCCCUUCAAUAUUUCAUGCCGUUUGGUGGCUCUGAAGAUGCAUGGAGGUUCUAGCAAGGAAGAGCCCAUUCAUACUUCCUCCACACUCUAUACACAGGGCAUCCAGGCCCAGAAGAGCUCAAUGCUGCCUGGCGUGGAGAGGCUGGCGCAGGCCAAGGCUGCUGGGCUCUGAGGACGCAGGGUGCGCAGCCUGGAACCUGCACCUCCUGACUGAUGAAACAUGGCCUAAGCAGACACCGGGAUCCAGGGCCCAGGCCACUCCUCUGUCAGACGCUGAGGCUCUCCCGAGAGCCCGAGGCAUGGCAUGGAGCUGGCGUGGCAACUGCAAGCAAAUGCUCUGACCUCAGGCCACCAGGUCGGGGCAGCUCCAAGCAGGUCUGUGAGGGACCCCGUGCGCCUGUCCUGUGAGGGCAGCAUCAGUUUCCCUCCUAGAGAACCGCAUGGAGCAGAUAUGGGCAGUGCAGCAGAGCGCUGCAGCAGCAGGCGGGAGGGUCCAAGCAGUGCCGUGAUCAUCCGACCCUCCAACCAUGAACUCACCUAGAGAAGCAUUCCAACCACACCGCGUUCCAACCACACCGCGUUCCAACCACGCCUCUCUAAAAUACGUGGAGGUGCUAGCAGAAAAUACCUGUUGUCUGUUUCUGAUUUAAUAAAGUCUAUUUCAUACACAUAAAGACACACUUGGUUUACAUGCAGAUGAGACAGUGAUCAGGCAUGUGCAGCAGAAAGCAUCGUCAGCAGACAGCCUCCACUCAGGCCCUACAAAUGAACAACAAUCUUCCUUUCGUCUUGCUUUCCUCUCUUAAGUUCCCCAAGAGGAGGCCCUGCCCAGGCCAGCCCCCAGCUCACAGGCUCCCCUGACUGCAGAGCUGCAAACUCAGCCACACACCCCAGGACGCCGCUUCUCCCCACAGCAGAGCAGAGGCUCAGCUGGCCCACUCCAGCGACGUGGAAUCGGGCUGGGCAGCGACAGGCCCUCCAGCCAAGGGCUCCGCCUUCAGCAUGAACCCUCUGCCUCAGGACUUUCUCCAGUGCCUGAUUCCUUGUAUGGUCAGCCCCGUGGUAUUUUAUUGAAAUAGAUAUUAUUCCUGUCAUCAAAAUAAAUAAACCCAACUAAAAAGCA